GAUGUGGUCAUUUUGCAUAUUCUCAAUAACGCGAUAAAAAAUAAAUAAAUGAUUAAAAUAAAAAUUGCCCGCAGAGCUGAACAGCAUUAGGUAAGUACUUUUUGUAUUUAAAAAUCAUGCCAAAUGAAGGCAUUCUGAGAGCUAUAGGAAAUAUAACAGGUGAGCCUUGUAGGUAAACAAAUAUGUCUGUCCCCUGUGUAAUCCACAAUUGUCAGUAUGUGAUGAAAUCUGUAGACAGCACGGUUAAUAUUAGAUGUUACAUUUCUUUAUGUGAUAUGACCAAAAGCAGUAUGGCUAAAAACAGAUGAUGCACAUAAUUUUAUAUUCACAUUUUCAGAAUGAAUCCAUAUUUAAUGUAAUGGUUUCUAUUAUAAACAUUUAUUCUCCAUUCGAGUCAGCGAUAUCUAAUCAGUUGCAGUUAAUACAGCUUUUCUGUAUCAUGGGUAUAUGGUAAGAAAAUGUGUCACACACGUUUCCUUUUCCAGAUGCCUACUCAAAAAAAUGUUGGCAGUGCCAGAAGAUGAUUGGGGUGGCUUCUAAAACAUGCCAACACUGUGGCAGCAAACAGCACCACAAAGAGAGGCUGCAAAAACAAAAAGAAAAAUUUUCCAAGGAAUGGAAAGAGCGUCAAAAGAAGAACAGCAGUAUCAAUGAAGUCUACGGUUCAACAAGUUUGCUGCUUCAUAAAUGGCAGCUUUUGGAGAGGCAUCCCAUCCUCUUCCUGGCCAGGAGAAGGGAAGGAGGAUUUAUGGCAGAGUGCAUGUGUCCAUGGUUAAUUAACACCGAGGACAUGAAGGAUGCUCUUGAUACCACGAAGAAAAUUUAUGAAAGUCUUCUUGACGUAACAACAGCAGUCGAAACUACAGCUGAGAUGGGGGAGAGGCCAGGACCGGGUACUCUUAGCCAGGACCGAGUCCUGAGGAUCCACAGCUCAAUGAGGAGAGGGCUGACCAGCCCUAGAGUCCACGCCCUCCAUCACUCCUCCUCUGUUGCCCUUUCAUGCUUUUUCUGAGUCCUCCUCCCCAACUCCUCUCUUGUCUUCCUGUCCCAAAUCUUCCUCCCUGCAUGCUCCAGUGUCUGUUGGACUUACCUCACAGAAGAAAAGACGAAGGAGGACAGCAGACACAGUUGGGCUGUGUGGAGGUCUUGUUGCAGUGGCAUCCUUGCUCUGGAUGGUAUGUAUGUUUAAUUGGAAUGAAGUGGAAAAACUCUUGGGAACCAAAGGCAAAUAUUCAGAUAUAAAACCCUAAAAUGACUGUUAUAGUUAAUUUCAUUGUUCUAUGUUUGGAUGUUGUAUUAUACAUGGUAAUGCAACUGUUGGACCAUUAUUUGACAUUUUCUGUUUCUGUAAAUGUUCAAUUGGUAAGCUGUAACAGAAGAAGUGACAUUAACGAGUAAUCUCUUGUAGCAUUCAGCUAUGAAGUAUGGCUUUUACUCAGGUAUUGUGAGUAAAAUAAUGUUAAUAAAAAUAUUUUGUGCAGA